rnacentral:rRNA from 1 species
CCUACGGGUGGCUGCAGUGGGGAAUAUUGCACAAUGGGCGCAAGCCUGAUGCAGCCAUGCCGCGUGUGUGAAGAAGGCCUUCGGGUUGUAAAGCACUUUCAGCGGGGAGGAAGGCGGUGAGGUUAAUAACCUCAUCGAUUGACGUUACCCGCAGAAGAAGCACCGGCUAACUCCGUGCCAGCAGCCGCGGUAAUACGGAGGGUGCAAGCGUUAAUCGGAAUUACUGGGCGUAAAGCGCACGCAGGCGGUCUGUCAAGUCGGAUGUGAAAUCCCCGGGCUCAACCUGGGAACUGCAUUCGAAACCGGCAGGCUAGAGUCUUGUAGAGGGGGGUAGAAUUCCAGGUGUAGCGGUGAAAUGCGUAGAGAUCUGGAGGAAUACCGGUGGCGAAGGCGGCCCCCUGGACAAAGACUGACGCUCAGGUGCGAAAGCGUGGGGAGCAAACAGGAUUAGAUACCCGAGUAGUC